UACGGAAGGGGGCUAGCGUUGCUCGGAAUUACUGGGCGUAAAGGGUGCGUAGGCGGGUCUUUAAGUCAGAGGUGAAAUCCUGGAGCUCAACUCCAGAACUGCCUUUGAUACUGAGGAUCUUGAGUUCGGGAGAGGUGAGUGGAACUGCGAGUGUAGAGGUGAAAUUCGUAGAUAUUCGCAAGAACACCAGUGGCGAAGGCGGACUCACUGGCCCCGAUACG
rnacentral:rRNA from 1 species